GAUGAACGCUGGCGGCGUGCCUAAUACAUGCAAGUCGAGCGAACGGACGAGAAGCUUGCUUCUCUGAUGUUAGCGGCGGACGGGUGAGUAACACGUGGAUAACCUACCUAUAAGACUGGGAUAACUUCGGGAAACCGGAGCUAAUACCGGAUAAUAUUUUGAACCGCAUGGUUCAAAAGUGAAAGACGGUCUUGCUGUCACUUAUAGAUGGAUCCGCGCUGCAUUAGCUAGUUGGUAAGGUAACGGCUUACCAAGGCAACGAUGCAUAGCCGACCUGAGAGGGUGAUCGGCCACACUGGAACUGAGACACGGUACAGACGCCUGCGGGAGGACGCAGUAGGGACUCUUCCGCAAUGGGGGAAAGCCUGACGGAGCAACGCCGCGUGAGUGAUGAAGGUCUUCGGAUCGUAAAACUCUGUUAUUAGGGAAGAACAUAUGUGUAAGUAACUGUGCACAUCUUGACGGUACCUAAUCAGAAAGCCACGGCUAACUACGUG
rnacentral:rRNA from 1 species